GUGUGUGGGUGUGUAUUUGACCUCUGGGCAUUUUCCUACAGAAUCAUGAUAAUAGCGCUACCAAGUGAAAAGACGUUUAUUAGAAAUUUAUCAUAGGCCCUAUAUCAGUGCAACGAGAAAUCUGUUCACGUGAUAUUGGCAACUGACAAAUACAACUACGGAACUAGUACGGAUACAAACUUGCAUCUGGUUCAGUACAGUCGUUGAGUUGAUUUUUUUGGUUUCAGGAAAAUGUUACCGAGGGCUCUCCUAGUCAUCUUCGUUUGCGCUGCCGUUGUUGGGAUGGUGGCUGAGGUCGUCAUUGCCGAUGAGGGUCCGGGUCAUUCAGGUCAGCCAGGUCGUGGAAGCGUGCUUCAGCAGCUGUAUUCUCUCAAAGCCAAGGCUAUCAGAAAUGAAGCUCGGAAAGAUGGAGGCCUCCAAUAUCCGCCGUGUUACCCCAGCUGUGAUUUUUAGCAAAGAAAAGGACCGCAUAUCACGGUGAAGCCUGGGAUCGAUCAUUUUUUUCUUUAUUUUAUCGAGCAUGGAGCCUGUCUGAACCAACACGCUGUACUUCCGGAUGUGAAGGUCCAGGGGCGGAUCCAGGAUUUUUGAAAAAAAGGGGGGGGGAUUUUCCCGAAAAAAAUUGACAAGCAAAAAGAAAAAGCAAAAAAAGAAAACCUUACUGGUGUAUGAAGUAUGAGCGGCAUAUUCCCAUUGGAAAUCUAGCA